GAUGUUAGCGGCGGACGGGUGAGUAACACGUGGAUAACCUACCUAUAAGACUGGGAUAACUUCGGGAAACCGGAGCUAAUACCGGAUAAUAUUUUGAACCGCAUGGUUCAAAAGUGAAAGACGGUCUUGCUGUCACUUAUAGAUGGAUCCGCGCUGCAUUAGCUAGUUGGUAAGGUAACGGCUUACCAAGGCAACGAUGCAUAGCCGACCUGAGAGGGUGAUCGGCCACACUGGAACUGAGACACGGUCCAGACUCCUACGGGAGGCAGCAGUAGGGAAUCUUCCGCAAUGGGCGAAAGCCUGACGGAGCAACGCCGCGUGAGUGAUGAAGGUCUUCGGAUCGUAAAACUCUGUUAUUAGGGAAGAACAUAUGUGUAAGUAACUGUGCACAUCUUGACGGUACCUAAUCAGAAAGCCACGGCUAACUACGUGCCAGCAGCCGCGGUAAUACGUAGGUGGCAAGCGUUAUCCGGAAUUAUUGGGCGUAAAGCGCGCGUAGGCGGUUUUUUAAGUCUGAUGUGAAAGCCCACGGCUCAACCGUGGAGGGUCAUUGGAAACUGGAAAACUUGAGUGCAGAAGAGGAAAGUGGAAUUCCAUGUGUAGCGGUGAAAUGCGCAGAGAUAUGGAGGAACACCAGUGGCGAAGGCGACUUUCUGGUCUGUAACUGACGCUGAUGUGCGAAAGCGUGGGGAUCAAACAGGAUUAGAUACCCUGGUAGUCCACGCCGUAAACGAUGAGUGCUAAGUGUUAGGGGGUUUCCGC
rnacentral:rRNA from 1 species